rnacentral:misc_RNA from 1 species
UGCUAUGACUUGCAAACAAUAGAUGAAUCUUAACAAAGCACUUGUCAAUAUCAGCUUACAAAGAGAAGUCAUUUAAUGACCAUAAACUGACAGUCAAGAGGACUAUAAAACAAAGCAUUUAAUAAAUAAGCAGGACAACAAAUGAAAAAAUUCCAUCCAUUUUUAAAUAUAUGAAGUGUGUAGAUAAAAAUCCAAUGGCCCAAAGAAGAAAAGAUGCAAGGAACAUAAAUAAGCUGAACUCCUGCAUACAUUCAUAAAUGCAUCCAUAAAACAUAGCAACAGAAUAUAGACAUUGAAGCACAGAUAACCAGAAAGGACUUGGCCACAUAGGUGGUCUCAC